rnacentral:rRNA from 1 species
AUACGUGGCAAGGUUAAGACAGAUAUAGUCGGAGCCGAAGGGAAACCAAGUCUGAAUAGGGCGAUUUUAGUCACGUAUAGUAAACCCGAAACCCGUGUGAGCUAUUCAUGGCCAGGCUGAAGGUGGGGUAACACCUACUGGAGGGCCGAACCAAUUGGAGCUGCAAGUCCACUGGAUGAGCUGUGAAUAGGAGUGAAAAGCUAAUCGAACCGGGAGAUAGCUGGCUCUCCGCGAAAUAUAUUUAGGUAUAGCGUAUAAUAGUAACCAAGAGGGGUAGGGCUCUGAUAAGACUAGCGGGUUUAUUCCAACUUAGCAAAUCUUGAUAAACUUCGAAUACUCUUGGCGGAAUAUUAUACAGUCGGACAGUGACGGAUAAGCGCCAUUGUCAAAAGGGAAACAGCCCAGAUUCCUAUCUAAGGUCCCCAAGUUAUAACUCAGUGGAAAAGGAUGUGCGAUUACUAAGACAGCCAGGAUGUUGGCUUAGAAGCAGCCACUCAUUCAAAGAGUGCGUAAUAGCUCACUGGUCGAGUGAUUGUGCGCCGAAAAUUCAGCGGGGCUUAAGUUAUACACCGAAGAUGGAAGAUUUAUACAUUAGUAUGGAUCGGUAGCGGAGCGUUCUGUAAGCCUGUGAAGCAGUUGGGUAACCACCUGUGGAGGUAUCAGAAGUGCAAAUGUUGGUAUGAGUAACGUAAUGGAGGUGAAAACCCUCCACACCGAAUACCCAAGGUUUCCUGUCCUACGUCAGUCGUGGCAGGGUUAGUCGGUCCUAAGGUGCACCCGAAAGGGGCAAGCCGAUGGAUAUCUGGUUAAUAUUCCAGAACUAUAUACAAGAGGUUAUUACCUAUGUGGGGACGCAUCGCGAAUAUCGGACACUCUCAUGGAUAUGAGUGAAGAGUAAUGCUUUUGGUUGUGUAGGCAAAUCCGCACAACAAUACAAGAGGGUUAUGAUUCCUUACCCAAUACUUCUUCGGAAGGGAUAAGUAAGGUCCUGUGAUAUGAAGGUGCCAAGAAAAGCCACUCUGGGACGAAUGUAUAUAACCGUACCGUAAUCGAACACUCGUGGGUGGAUGUGAGUACAUUAAGGUGGACGGGAUAACUGAGCUUAAGGAACUCUGCAAAACAGCGGUCGUAACUUCGGGAUAAGACCUGCCUCCUCAGCAUUUAUCUGAGAGGCCGCAGCUAACGAGUCCAGGCGACUGUUUACCAAAAACACAGCUCCGUGCUAAAUCGCAAGAUGAUGUAUACGGGGUGAUGCCUGUCCGGUGCCAGAAGAUCACGGGGAGGGGUGCAAGCUCUGAACCUAAGUCCUGGUGAACGACGGCCGUAACUAUAACGGUCCUAAGGUAGCGAAAUUCCUUGUCGGGUAAGUUCCGACCCGCACGAACGGCAUAACGGUCUGGACACUGUCUCAAGCUCAGGCCCGGUGAAAUUACAAUAUCGGUAAAAAUGCCGAUUACUCGCAGCAAGACGGGAAGACCCUAUGAAGCUUUACUCUAGUUUGGCAUUGAGUCGUACGUAUAUUUGUGCAGGAUAGGUGGGAGACGCUGAAGGUGGAACGCUAGUUCUACUGGAGUCAUCCUUGAGAUACCACCCUUGUAUACGUAUGCCUCUAACCCGCCCAAGGCGGGGACCGUGCUUGAUGGGGAGUUUAACUGGGGCGGUUGCCUCCUAAAAUGUAACGGAGGCGCACAAAGGUAGGUUAGAUUCGGAUGGAAAUCGGAUCGAUAGUGUAUUCGCAUAAACCUGCUUGACUGAGAGACCUACAAGUCGAUCAGAGACGAAAGUCGGUGAAAGUGAUCCGGCACCAACACGUGGGAGUGGUGUCGCUCAACGGAUAAAAGUUACUCUAGGGAUAACAGGCUGAUCGCGUCCAAGAGUUCAUAUCGACGACGCGGUUUGGCACCUCGAUGUCGGCUCGUCGCAUCCUGGGGCUGGAGAAGGUCCCAAGGGUUGGGCUGUUCGCCCAUUAAAGAGGC